GGUCAAGCUACUAAGGGUGGACGGUGGAUGCCUUGGCGCAGAGAAGCGAUGAAGGACGUGGCAAGCUGCGAUAAGCCUCGGGGAGCCGCAAACAGGCUUUGAUCCGGGGAUUUCCGAAUGGGGCAACCCCUUCCGAGUCAAGUCGGAAGAUCCCCUGCUCAAUACAUAGGCAGGGAGAAGCAAACCCGGGGAAGUGAACCAUCUCAGUACCCGGAGGAAAAGAAAGCAAAUCAGCGAUUCCGUCAGUAGCGGCGAGCGAAAGCGGAACAGCCCAAACCUCGAGGGCUUCGGUUCUCGGGGGGUUGUGGGGCGGAGCACGGCGCAAGCCAGGAAGUCACAAAAGACCCGCCUAGUCGAAGGUCACUGGAAAGUGCCGCCACAGAGGGUGAUAGCCCCGUAGGCGAAAGGCGAGGUCUCUUCCCGUUCCGUUCCCGAGUACCACGGGGCACGAGAAACCCUGUGGGAAUCCGGGUGGACCAUCACCCAAGGCUAAACAUUACUCUGCGACCGAUAGUGAACCAGUACCGUGAGGGAAAGGUGAAAAGAACCCCUGUGAGGGGAGUGAAAUAGUACCUGAACCCGUCCAUCUACAAGCAGUGGAACCACCAUGUCGCAAGACGGUGGAACCGCGUGCCUUUUGCAUAAUGAGCCGGCUAGUUAAUUUCAGCGGCAAGGCGAAGCAACGUGCUGAGCCGUAGCGAAAGCGAGUCUGAAUAGGGCGAUUCAGUCGCUGGGAUUACACGCGAAGCGGGAUGAUCUACCCAUGGCCAGGGUGAAGCUGAGGUAACACUCAGUGGAGGCCCGAACUGGUGUUGGUUGAAAACAACUCGGAUGAGCUGUGGGUAGGGGUGAAAGGCUAAUCAAAUUCCGUUAUAGCUCGUUCUCUCCGAAAUAGCUUUAGGGCUAGCCUUGCAUGAUUGACGACGGUGGUAGAGCGCUGGAUGGACUAGGGGCCUUUCCAGGUUACCAAAUCCAACCAAACUCCGAAUGCCGUUGAUCUCAGUGCAGGAGUCAGACAGUGGGGGAUAAGCUUCAUUGUCGAAAGGGAAAGAACCCAGACCGCCCGCUAAGGUCCCCAAAUCGCAGCUAAGUGGAAAAGGAAGUGGAGACGCUCAGACAGCCAGGAGGUUGGCUUAGAAGCAGCCAUCCUUUAAAGAAAGCGUAACAGCUCACUGGUCAAGCGGCUCCGUGCCGACAAUUCAACGGGGCUAAAGCUGCGUACCGAAGCGGCGGAUGUGCAGGGACUUCGGUCACCUGUACGUGGUAGGAGAGCAUUCUGAUUGGGGUGAAGUCGGACCGCGAGGACCGGUGGACCGAUCAGAAGAGACCCUGCCGGCACAAGUAGCGAUAAAGCAGAUGAGAGCUCUGCUCGCCGUAAAUCUAAGGAUUCCUGAGCAAGGUUAAUCCGCUCAGGGUGAGUCGGUCCCUAAGGCGAGGCCGAAAGGCGUAGCCGAUGGAAAUCCGGUCAAUAUUCCGGAACCGCUCGUUGGUCGUUAUCACCGAAGGGGGGACGCAGGAGGCUAGGCGUACCGGGUGUUGGAUGUCCCGGGCCAAGCUCGUAGGCGGAAGGAGUAGGUAAAUCCGCUCUUUCAUUCAACGCCGAGAAGCGACGGGGAGGCCGCAAGGCCAUAAACUCGCCGAUGCCACGCUGCCGAGAAAAUCCUCUAGGGAGAACAAUGGGUGACCGUACCGCAAACCGACACAGGUAGAUGAGGAGAAAAUCCUAAGGCGCUCGAGUGAAGCUUUGCGAAGGAACUCGGCAAAUUAACACCGUAACUUCGGGAGAAGGUGUGCCUCGGAUUGUGUAGGGGUUUACCCUCGAAGCAUUCCGGGGUCGCAGUGAAAUGGCCCAAGCAACUGUUUACUAAAAACACAGGACUCUGCAAAGUCGUAAAACGACGUAUAGGGUCUGACGCCUGCCCGGUGCUGGAAGGUUAAGGGGAGAGGUUAGCCGCAAGGCGAGGCUUUGAACCGAAGCCCCAGUAAACGGCGGCCGUAACUAUAACGGUCCUAAGGUUGCAUUCGCUGCUUUAGUAAAAUCUGGCCAAAUGCUGGAACGUCUGAGUAUCUCCGGCUACUCGCCGCAGAAUCGUUAGCGGUAGUGACAAAGCCUGGAGUGCAGAAAAUCAGCAGGAAAGGCCGCCUCGAGUAAGCACGAGGCGGAAUCCUCAGAGACUUAACGCCAGACGAUCUGAUCUACCGAGGUCAGCAUCGAAGAUAAAGUCCGGACUGCAUGGCGACAUGCAGAGGUCGGCAGAAAUGACCGGCCCCCGUCGCGACAAUCAGUUAGCGAUGGAGCAACAAGAUCAAGCGAAAUUCCUUGUCGGGUAAGUGAAAUUGCCCGGGGCGGGAGCGAUCCCGUCCACUCAACCGGCUCAAAUCGGUGGAGCCCUACCGGCGUUGCAGGACGCCGCGGGUAAUACCGAGGGUAAGAUCGUAACGAUACGAUCCCCGUAACGACUCAGGAUUGAGACCCCUGGAUGAGGCCGAAAGGCCCCAUAAAACGCCGGCCCUGGUUCUUGCCGAUGGACAUCGCGUCUUACAUCUCGGGUUUCAUCGAUGGAGAAGGGUGCUUCUGCGUCUCGUUCCAGCCAAGCCCACGGCAUCGGCUGGGGUGGGAAGUGCGACCGAGUUUCUCGGUCAGCCAGAACGCGGACCGCGCCGAGCUCCUCUGGGUGAUUCAAGAGAAAUGGAGAUGUGGGUUCAUCCGGCCCGAUCGGUCUGACAAGACCCUCAAGUUCGAAGUUCGAAACAUUUGCGACUUGGUGGAGAUCGUUCUCCCUCACUUCCGAACGCAUCCGCUGGCUUCAUCGAAGCAGGCGGACGUCGAACGGUUCGAUCGCAUCUGCAUGCUUGUCCAUGGUGGCAAGCAUCAGACGGUGGAGGGUUUCGGAGAGAUCGUAAGGAUCGCGAUGGAAAUGAAUCCGUCGGGUAAGCGCAAGUACAGCGGAAGCGAGAUUUUCAACUCGCUCCGAUCAGGUGAACGUAUAGUCUGUGCCACGGGAAACCGUGGAAUGAAGAAGGCAGGGGAUCCUGAAUCCCUUGACUCCUGACACGAAGUUCCGACCUGCACGAAUGGCGUAAUGAUUUGGGCACUGUCUCCGCAAAGCGCUCGGCGAAUCUGUAGUACCGGUGAAGAUGCCGGUUACCCGCACGUAGACGGAAAGACCCUGUGCACCUUUACUAUACCCAGGCAUUGAAUUUUGGCGUUGUCUGCGCAGAAUAGGUGGGACGCUUUGAAACUGGGGUUUCGGCCUCGGUGGAGCGGCCAGUGAGAUACCACCCUGACGGCGCCGGAGUUCUAACUGAGUCCCGUGAUCCGGGACCAGGACCAUGCCUGGCGGGUAGUUUGACUGGGGCGGUCGCCUCCUAAAUUGUAACGGAGGCGCCCAAAGGUUCCCUCAGGCUGAUUGGAAACCAGCCGUAGAGUGCAAAGGCAGAAGGGAGCUUGACUGCGAGACCUACAAGUCGAGCAGGUACGAAAGUAGGGCUUAGUGAUCCGGUGGUUCUGUAUGGAAGGGCCAUCGCUCAACGGAUAAAAGGUACGCCGGGGAUAACAGGCUGAUCUUGCCCAAGAGUUCACAUCGACGGCAAGGUUUGGCACCUCGAUGUCGGCUCAUCGCAUCCUGGGGCUGAAGCAGGUCCCAAGGGUCCGGCUGUUCGCCGGUUAAAGCGGUACGUGAGCUGGGUUUAGAACGUCGUGAGACAGUUCGGUCCCUAUCUCGUGUGGGCGCAGGAAAUUUGCGAGGAUCCCUCCUUAGUACGAGAGGACCGGGAGGGGCGAACCUCUUGUGCACCGGUUGUCGCGCCAGCGGCAUGGCCGGGUAGCGAUGUUCGAAAGGAUAACCGCUGAAAGCAUAUAAGCGGGAAGCCUUCCUCAAGAUGAGAUUUCCCGGGGGUAACCCCCUAAAGGCCCGUGGGAGACGACCACGUUGAUAGGCUGGGUGUGGAAGCGCUGCAAGGCGUGAAGCUGACCAGUACUAAUCGGCCGUGCGGCUUGACCAU
rnacentral:rRNA from 1 species